UACGAAGGGGCUAGCGUUGUUCGGAAUUACUGGGCGUAAAGGGCGCGUAGGCGGUCCUGAUCGUCGGAUGUGAAGACGCGGGCUCAACCUGGGAACUGCAUCCGAUACGGCGGGACUGGAGUGUGGGAGAGGUUGGUGGAACUGCGAGUGUAGAGGUGAAAUUCGUAGAUAUUCGGAAGAACACCAGUGGCGAAGGCGGCUCACUGGACGCGUAUUGACGCUGAGGUACGAAAGCGUGGGGAGCAAACAGG
rnacentral:rRNA from 1 species